CCAUAUUUGUGAUUGAACCGUAGAGCAGGCAAAGUAUUCGAGUAGGCGGACGACAAUCUGCAGAUUGUGUUAGUUGAAAAGUGUGAGGCUUAUCCCAACCCCUGGUAGAGGAAGUGUAGGAAGAUUUUGUUUUGAAUUGGGAUGAUACACAGUUGAGAAGAAUUACUAGCUUAUAAUGAGUUUGUUUCCACCCCUCUUAUUUUUCACUUCUAGAUGAUUGGACUAAGUUUUGGUUAACUUUUCUUGUUGUUUUCAAUUUUCAGUUAAGUUAAUGUGUGUGAUAUUCAAUCCAAGUCUUCUGUUUUUCGAUUCUAAAAAAAUUUCAUGGUUCUCUUCCCCUCCUACUAUUUUAACUGUAAUAUCCACACAUUCAUG
rnacentral:lncRNA from 1 species